GGAAAACAAAGAGGGCCGUUCACCGAGGGGAAAAAGAAACCCCCGCGUGACGACUGGAGAUGAAAACAGGAAUAAAGUAGACAAAUAACUUACAAUCCAUACAUCAGGUUACUCAAAAUGACCUCCAUUCCACAAUCCCGGCUCCGUUUCCCAGGAAUGACAUCACUUCUGACCCUUCCGAAUAACGUCACUUCCGGCUCCGCCAUAGUAACGUUACUUCCAGCCCCAUUAUGAUGACGUCACUUUUGGCUCCGCCAUGAUGACAUUGCUUCCGUUCCUCUGCUGUGAUAUCAGCCGCAGGAAAACCUACAGUAUCUGACUCAUCCAUGAAGACGUCACUUCCAGCUCUGGUGCCACGACUGACAUCAUUUUCGGUUCUGCCGCCUUGAUUGACGUCACUUCCGUUUCCCCUAUGUCACAUCUGUUCUGAUUAUUUAAAACCACCAUUUUUGCAACUCAACUUCAGUCUUGUGAACAUCUCUGUUCCUUUCAAAGCCUUUUGCAGCCAGGGAUAUUACACGGGUAGCUGCCCCAAACCUUUUUAAGUGUGUCGAGUCUGAUCAUUUUAGACCUGCCACCAUUUUGUCUAUAUUAACCCACUGUACACAAUGCUACGCUGUCAAAUGCCAAGUUUUUGAUCAAAUUUGGCUAUCUUGCAAUUCUUUCUGUCUGGACAUUAUACGGGGUAAUUCCGCAACUCUUUAUUAGACUUUGUGGAAUUCUUUGACGUAUCACAGGGUCCACAUCAAUGACAUGCUGGACUGGACUCAUAACACAGAGGAACUACAGAAGAAAGGGAAGAGCGGGC